UUGUGGUUAAAAAGCUCGUAGUUGGAUCUCGGCGGACUGAGGGCGGUUUGCUUGCUAGUAUUACUGCCCUAUAGUCCGUAGUUUUGCCAGAGGUUUCGGGGUGCUCUUAAUCGAGUGUCCCGGGAUGCUGGCAGGUUUACUUUGAAAAAAUUAGAGUGCUCAAAGCAGGCUAUUACGCCUGAAUAUUCGUGCAUGGAAUAAUAGAAUAGGAAGUCGUUUCUAUUUUGUUGGUUUUCGGAAAUCGACUUAAUGAUUAAUUGGGACAGUCGGGGGCAUUUGUAUUCAAACGACAGAGGUGAAAUUCUUGGACCGUUUGAAGACAAACUACUGCGAAAGCAUUUGCCAAGAAUGUUUUCAUUAAUCAAGAACGAAAGUUAGAGGUUCGAAGGCGAUUAGAUACCGCCCUAGUUCUAACCAUAAACGAUGCCAGCUAGCGAUCUGAGGACGUUUUUUUUGAAGACUCCUCAGGAAGCUUCCGGGAAACCAAAGCGUGUGGGUUCCGGGGGAAGUAUGGUUGCAAAGCUGAAACUUAAAGGAAUUGACGGAAGGGCACCACCAGGAGUGGAGCCUGCGGCUUAAUUUGACUCAACACGGGAAAUCUCACCAGGCCCGGACACUGGAAGGAUUGACAGAUUGAGAGCUCUUUCUC
rnacentral:rRNA from 1 species